GGAUGUGAUGUUGGGAUGGCUCUAACGAAGAAGCAAAAAUGAUAAAGCAGAAUGUUCAAGGCACUAAGAGUCAGAUCUCCCAGCUCUUCUCCAAUUUUGCCUGUGACUAGUCAUCUGUCUUUGGGGCAUCUAACAUUCAUUAUCAAAGGAAAGUUGUGAUGGACUGUCAUUUCCCCAGAGAUCAUUUUUCUGGUUGAGGAUGAGGCAUGAAGUACCAGUGAAGAACUGUCGAAUUCUCCUUUGUGAGAUAUGUCUUGGGUAUUUUAGAUGUGAAGCAUUCCCACGUCUACUUGAGAAGCAACUUCCCAAUUACUAAUAAAACUUGCAGGGAUAUUGAUUGGGAUUUUGAGGAAUUUAUGUAUCUUCUUUACAAUAUUGAAUUCUUCAAUUCAUAAUCAUGUUACAAACUUCCAUUUACUGAAGACAUCUUCACAUUUUCUCAAUAGUGACAGAGCUUCCAGUGCUGAGGUAUUUUAUGUCUUUCAUAUUGAUGAUUUUUUUUGCUGUUGCAAAUGGUAUCAUAUUUAUAAUUUCAUAUUCUAACAGCUUGUUGGUGUUAUACAGAAAUAAUUUGUCCUUUUAUUGUAUAUUGGCCUUAAAUCUUGCAACCUUCCUAACUCAAUUUUUAUAGUUUCCUUGUAGAUCCUUCUGCAGUUUCUUCAAUUUUAUUUUCCCUGUAUAAAAAUUAUUUUAUACAGAGAAGUUGUAUAUUGUCCCUGUAUAUUUUCUUGUAUGUUUUAUUUUUUUCUUUCAUUAUUGCUUUGGUAGUAAUUUCAGUAAAAUAUAACUAGAAAUAGUGAUACAGGAUUUCUUUACCUCAUUCCAAAUUUCAGAGGGAAGUUUUCACUUUUUCUGUAAAUGAUAUUUGCUGCAACCAUUUGGUUAUUGUUACAUAACUUCUUCAGCAUAAUAAUGUUCCUGUUUUUUAGCUGGCUGAGAGAGUUUGAUUUUUAUAUAAAUAGGUGUUAAAUUUUAUAAGAGCUUAGUCUGCAUCCAUUGAAGUUUAUAAAGUUUUUCUUUUUUUGUAAAUUUGGAAAAUUACAUUGGCUGUUUUUUAAAUGUUAAAUAACCUUUGUAGUCCAAGAUUAAACCCAGUUUUGUCAUGAUGGAUACAUUGCUUUGUCAUUUAUAUUUUUUAUUUGCCAAUUUUGCACUUAUAUUUUGCAUCUAUGCUGAUAAGAGGUAUUGUCUGCACUUGUUUUUUCCUUUUAAUGUCUCUGCAAGCUUUCAAUUAUCAUGGUUUUGCUUACUUCAUAGAAUUAGUUGAUAAAUGUUUCUUCUUUUUCCAUUCUUUGGAACAUGUGUAUAAAGUUGAUAUUAUUUCUUUCUUAAAUGUUUGAGAAAAUUUGCCAGUCAAGGUUAUUUAAUUUGGAGAUUUAUUUAUGGGAAGGUUUUUAGUUAUAGAUUCAAUUAUUUUAAUUAAAUAUAAAACUAUUAAGAUUUUCCACUUGUUUUGUGUUAAUUGGGGUAACUUUAAUUAUAAUAUCCUUAAGAUCAGUAAUGAUUUUGCCUGUAUCAUUCUUAAUAUUGGUAAGUUGUACCUUCUUUGUACUUAAUUAACUUUUCUAGGGUUUAACCUAAUAGUCUUUUCAAAAACUAACAUUUAGGUUAUGCUAGCUCUCUUUUGUUUCUCUACAUAUUUUAAGGUGGUUUUUUUCUAGUUCUGUGAAGAAUGAUGGUGGUAUUUCUAUGGGAAUUGCAUUGAAUUUGUAGAUCACUUUUAACAAUAUGGUCAUUUUCACAAUAUUGAUUCUACCCAUCCAUGAGCAUGUGAUGUGUUUCCAUUUGUUUGUGUCAUCUAUGAUUUCUUCCAGUAGUGUUUUGUAGUUUUCCUUGUAGAGGUCUUUUACCUCCUUGGUUAGGUAUAUUUCGAAGUAUUUUAAUUUUUUUUUUUUGCAGCUGUUGUAAAAGGAGUUGAGUUCUUGAUUUGAUUAUCAGCUUGGUUGUUGUUAGUAUAUAGCAGAGCUACUGAUUUGUGUGCAUUAAUUUUGUAUCCUGAAACUUCCUGAAUUCAUUUAUCAGUUAUAGGAGCAUUUUGGAGGAGUCUUUAGGGUUUUCUAGUUAUACGAUCAUAUCAUCAGCAGUGACAGUUUGACUUCCUCUUUACUGGUUUGGAUGCCCUUUAUUUUUUUCUCUUGUCUGAUUGCUUUGGCUAGGACUUCCAGUACUGUGUUGAAUAGAAGUGGUGAGAGUGGGAAUCCUUGUCUUGUUGCAGUUUUUAGAGGGAAAGAUUUCAACUUUUCCCUGUUCAGUAUUAUGUUGGCUGUGGGUUUGUCAUAGAUGGCUUGUAUUACAUUAAGGUAUGUUCCUUGUAUGCUGAUUUUGCUGAGGAUUUUAAUUAUUAAAGGAUGCUGGAUUUUGUCAAAUGUUUUUUCUGCAUCUAUUGUGAUGAUCAUGUGAUUUUGGUUUUAAAUUCUGUUUAUAUGGUUUAUCACAUGUAUUGACUUGCAUAUGUUAAACCAUCUCUGCAUUCCUAGUAUGAAGCCCACUUAAUCAUGGUGGAUAUAUGUUUAUGUGUUGUGUGUUUAUGUAUGUAUGCAUAUGUAUGUGUAUGCAUGUGUAUAUGCAUAUAUGUAUAUAUGUGUAUAUAUAUAAAAAUACAUACCUCUGCUCUUUUACUUUGCUUUGUUUUUAAUCAAUAUUUUUUCUCUUGCUUCAGUUUGGAUAUAUCAUAUAGCCUUAUCUUUCAUGUCACUAAAACUUUUCUCAUUAAUGUCCACUUGACUAGUAAACACAUACUGAGUUCUCAAAUUCAGGAUUGUAUUUCUCUUUCUAGAAUUUCAUAGAAAAAAAAUCCAUUUUUCCCAAUACUAAUUCUAUUUCUUUAGUGAAAUAUUCAACCUCAUAAUCUAUUUGUUGAAUACAUUAAGUGUUAAAUUCUGAAGGCACCUAAUGUAUUAUAACUGACCAUCAUUACUUAGGGAGUCCAUUGAUAUAUGAAUAAGUCAUGCAUUUGCCAUUGUUUGGAUGAUGCGUUUAAGUAAUGCAUUAUUGUUUUUUCUGGAAACAAAGACAUUUUUUAUUGGAAAUUUUUAGUAACUAUUUAUAAAAUUUUAAAGAAAAGUGGAGUAUAAAAUAUUAAAGUAAUUUAAUAGAUUACUAAGUCUGUGAAGGCUGGGGUCCACCUACCUAUUUUCCAGUUUAUAAAAUACUGAUUUGUUGAAGUGGAGAUAGAGCUAGCGAAAAAUAUUGAAGUAUUAGUUGUUAUAGAUUGGCCUCAUGGGCUUUAUAUCUUACUCAAGUGAUUAAAGUAUGUUAAUUUCAGAUAGUGAAGCUCUCCAAGUCUUUUGAAACUGAAUGUAUUAUUGAGUGAGAAUAAGUAUGACUUGGUCUUUAAAAUUAGACAAGCAGCACUGACUUUAAACUCAGACAAAGAAUAAAAUACAUUUGAUUGUAAUGGUAUAGAUCUAUAGCUUGUAAAAUAAAAAAAAGCUCGUUUUUCUCUCUACUGCUACAAAAGAUGGUGUUGACUAAUUUGACUAUAUUCCAUUUAAAAUAAGUCAAAACCUUUUGUUACAUGAUUAGGCAUAGGGGAUACAGUCCCAGGAGGUAUGUUAGUGACUUUAAAUUUAUGCUAAAGUAACUAUUAUUAGACCCAUACUCAAAGGCAGGUUUGAAUCUAAGUCGUAUUGUGAGGAGAGUAUCAUAGGCAAACUUCUAUUCAUAAUUCCUCAUUGUUAUUAGCAUCUGUAAUUUAUAUUAAGUUUAGAUGUAUAUGCUCAGUUCUUGUGAAACAAUGUAAAGGAAACUAAAAAUUGGUGUCCAAACAUUAGCAACAUACAUAGGA
rnacentral:lncRNA from 10 species